AUCGAACGCUGGCGGCAGGCCUAACACAUGCAAGUCGAACGAGUGGCGGACGGGUGAGUAAUGUCUGGGCACCUGCCUGAUGGAGGGGGAUAACUACUGGAAAAGGUAGCUAAUACCGCAUACCAUCAUAUCUGCCCAGAUGGGAUUAGCUAGUUGGUGGGGUAACGGCUCACCAAGGCGACGAUCCCUAGCUGGUCUGAGAGGGUGACCAGCCACACUGGAACUGAGACACGGUCCAGACUCCUACGGGAGGCAGCAGUGGGGAAUAUUGCACAAUGGGCGAAAGCCUGAUGCAGCCAUGCCGCGUGUAUGAAGAAGGCCUUCGGGUUGUAAAGUACUUUCAGCGGGGAGGCGUUACCCGCAGAAGAAGCACCGGCUAACUCCGUGCCAGCAGCCGCGGUAAUAC
rnacentral:rRNA from 1 species